rnacentral:tRNA from 1 species
GUCUGGUCAUUAAGAAUUGCGGGUAUAGAGAAAGGGCGUCUCACAUGUCUCAUUAGCAUGGUAUCGGCAGGUUCGACU